rnacentral:lncRNA from 1 species
CUGCUGGAGCUCCUUGGGCUCUUCUGUGUUCUCAAGCAGGCACAGCAGUCUCUUUGCCAUCUGGAGAAGAGCUUUCUUGGAAAGGAUUUGGGCACCACUCAGUUAGUUACUACAAAAGAAGAGCUUCCAUCUGAUGGCUUCCAACAGCGAUGUGACAGGUAAGUUUGUAUUGUUUAUUUGUAUUUUAUAACAUAUACAGUGGGGAAAAAAAGUAUUUAGUCAGCCACCAANNNNNNNNNNAAAAAAAAAAAUCAAGCUCUGUUCUUGCUUGAAUGACUAAUUUUUAAUGAUCUCAGCAAUUAUCCAGCAACAGCAUUCCAAUCAAUUCCCGAUUGACAAAAUGAAGUCCUGCUCUGCACUUUUUCUCAUUUGAGAAGCUGUUGUGCUUGGAUGUCAGUAUAGGGUAAACAAAGACAAUUGCAACUUGGGUUUUGUGGUGAUUUAAAAAAAACAAUAGUAUCUCUUUGACAGUAAUGGUUUUAUUUUUGUGAUUUCAAUUGUUCAGUGUAAAGUUCCAUGUUGGCUGUCCACAUACAAGGCAUUUUUAUGCAUAAUUUAUUCAAUGCCUAAUUAGAAAUCAUAGAAAAUUGUUUUAUUUUGUAUUUCUUUAAUUAUGAAAAUGUUAAUGUCUUUUCAAUUACAUGUCAUGACAGCAAAAACAGAAGUGUCAAAUUAAACAGUUUGAAACAAAUGAAACCUUGUCGAAAAAUAAAAAAAUGUAGGGUGUAGACUUGGUUUAGUCAAUCAGUUGUUGAUUGGAUGCAGACAGAUAUGUUUACAAUAAGAUCAAUAACAUGCAUUUAGGUGAAUUUUAAGGUGAACCAUCCCGACUUUAAUCUGUCUUUGUUUAGACCCUGAAGUUUCUCACAUGGGAGUCUUGGUUCCAUCAAAGAGUUACAGAGUCACGGGCCAGGGAGCUGGAGAUGCUAAGAAUUCUGGGAUAUCUGACAGCAUUCUCUAUGCUCAACUCUAUCUGUAUGCCUUUCCUGGUUGGUUUCUCUAGUAUCGGUGUGUUUGUGCUGGUGGAUGAUGGGAAUGUUCUCACACCGUCUCAGAUCUUUACAUCCCUCUGUUUCUUCAGAUUGCUCCGCCCACCUCUGCUGGAGCUCCUUGGGCUCUUCU